GUCUACAGCCAUACCACUCUGAAAGUGCCAGAUCUUGUCUGACCUCAGAAGGUAAGCAGGGUUGGGCCUGGUUAGUACUUGGAUGGGGGACCACCUGGGAAUACUGGGGGCUGUAGGCU
rnacentral:rRNA from 1 species